UCACGGCCUUGAAGAGAAAUUAACGGAUUUUGUUCACGGGUCAUUGGUGUUUUGAUUUAGGCUGAUCGAUAUAUACACGGUUUGUUUUGUUUUGGGUUUUUUUUGCGUUUCUUUUCUCAACACCUUCAAUUCGGACAAAUUAUCUCUCUUUUUCUUGGAAUAACAAAGGAGGGCGAGUACACCUGUCCCACGCUCUGCGCAGAUUACACAAGACCUUCAAAACGAUCAGCUUUAUAACACUUGUAAUUCCGACUAAUUCAUUGCUUCUCCCUGUUUUUCGCAAAAUAAAUACUCGGGCCUUAAUAAAAUGCUAAUGUUAUUGUAAGGAUGGAAUUUCUUUAUGGAACCAGACAGCUUCCUGAAUAAAGUGUGAGGAAUGCUUGUUAGUUUCUCUGAGUUAGCUACAAGAUAAAACAUGUCAAACCAGUCUGUGACUAAACUUUUACUUGUCUCACUACUUUUUUUUAAAGUAAAUUAUUCAACAGAAUCCAGCGCAAUAUGACAUCUCCUGACGUUUGACGGAGGAAUGGGACGAAAAACCAUAAAGGCCUUGUGGAUUGUCCUGAUCGCUGUCUCGGUCUACUGGCUGUACGAAAAAUUUGCAAAGCAUACAGCAAAAAUUCUUAGAUGGAAUUUACCCAUCCUUUCCUGACCUCAACGUGGAAUUCAAGUAAAUUGCUAAUCUAGUACUGGCGCUAGAGAUUAGAUAACCCCCGAAUGAGUGGUGAAAAAAAGAGAAAAAUAUUCUUACAGAUGGAACUUUGUUGAAACUUCAAAGGUCUGCUUCUUCUCCUUCAAUGACCAAUCCUGGGAUAAUCUGGUGCUUAAGAGUUGGUGAUGGCGCUUGGUGAUUGAUUUUAAUGUUGGUUGGUGAAUAUCCUGGUUUUGACUGAUAAACAACUGAUGGGCUCGUAGCCCUGUUUCCAAAAGUAUUUUCAGUGUCGGCUUUUUCACCAUUUUGUCUUUUCAAUGAACCUCUGCUAUAAUUGGUUUUUUUAAGCAUCCCCUUAAGCCAAACAAAUUUUUUAAAUAUCACACUGUAAUUGUUGUAUAAUAUAUAAAGUACUUGGAAAUUGAA